rnacentral:SRP_RNA from 1 species
GUGGUGGUGUAGGCGGGCGGCUAGGGGUCGCCUGAUGGGGAAGCAUUGCUUCCCUUGACCGCAAACCCUCUUAUGGCGGGCCGAAAGCCGGCGUGAGGCGUUCGUCAACCGUCACAUCCCCUUCACGUUAAGGCGAUGAAAACUCGUCCCAGAGGGCUAGCGGCGUCCGUCCGUCCUCCGUAGGGAGGACAUGUUCGGUCUCUACUAGGGGAAACUGGCCAGGCCCGGGAGAGCUUGUCACGGCCCCGAUGGAGCAACCUAACCCUAGACGCGUGGCGCUUCUGGGGAAGCGGGUUUGAGACCAAAUGUGAAGGGUGUGGCGGGAGAGGUCGUCGAUCGCCGGGACCACCAC